AUUGAACGCUGGCGGCAUGCUUUACACAUGCAAGUCGAACGGUAACAGGCCGCAAGGUGCUGACGAGUGGCGAACGGGUGAGUAAUGCAUCGGAACGUGCCCAGUAGUGGGGGAUAACGCAGCGAAAGCUGCGCUAAUACCGCAUACGACCUGAGGGUGAAAGCGGGGGAUCGCAAGACCUCGCGCAAUUGGAGCGGCAGAUGUCGGAUUAGCUAGUUGGUGGGGUAAAGGCCCCCCAAGGCGACGAUCCGUAGCUGGUCUGAGAGGACGACCAGCCACCCUGGGACUGAGACACGGCCCAGACUCCUACGGGAGGAAGCAGUGGGGAAUGAUGGACAAUGGACGCAAGUCUGAUCCAGCCAUGCCGCGUGCGGGAAGAAGGCCUUCGGGUUGUAAACCGCUUUUGUCAGGGAAGAAAUCUUCUGGGUUAAUACCUCGGGAGGAUGACGGUACCUGAAGAAUAAGCACCGGCUAACUCUGUGCCAGCCGCCGCCGUAAAAC
rnacentral:rRNA from 1 species